CCCCACCUACAUCUGGUACAGGAACGGACAGCCUGUAUCUGACCAGAACAGAAAUGAACUGGAGCUGAGAGACAGAACUGUGGAUGCUGGCAGCUACUCCUGCGCUGUGAAAGGAUACGAGGAGCUCGGCUCUCCUGCCGUCUACUCUCCCAGACCUCCAUCUGUAUCUGAGACUGAGGUUAACGGCUCCGUCACGCUGGUCUGUGUCAGCGACUCCAACCCUGCCAGCUCUUACACCUGGUUCAGGAAGACAGGAGGGAACAUCACACAGUUUGGAGAAGGAGCCAGUUUAACUUUAGCUGCAGGAGCAGAUGGAGUUUUCUACUGUACGGCAGAGAAUCCAUACGGAUCAUCCACCUCAUCAGAAUGGACACUUACAUCAGAUAACAGGACUUCAGUAUAUGCAGCUUCUGGAGGCGCCGUGGUUUUGCUUCUGAUAUUCACUGCAGUCUUUUUGUGGAUGAG